GCUAGAUUCUGCCUCAGUGCCAGACACCAGGUUAGCACAGAAACUGUUUGAAGACAAAGAAGUUCUCAGAAGUGAGGAUAAGUAUCUCUUGCAGAGGCAGAAGGAACUGGAACUGAAGGUUCAAGAGCUGGAAUGUGAACUUGAGAGAGAGAAGGAAGCAUCCAGGAAGACUGCUGCAAAGUUUGAGGAAACCCUGGAUACUUACAUUGGAACAAAAAUGAGAAGUUUGGCUGCUAAGGUGAAGGCAUUGAAAGAAGUUAGGCACACAAAUAAGAACAGUCGUUUUAGGGAGCAGCUCUCGGAAUCCAU
rnacentral:lncRNA from 1 species